GCGAGCAUAUCCCUCCUGCGUUUCUUUUCUUCUACACUUGUCUCUAGGUUUCGUUCAUUGCGCUUCAAGAUACACAAAUCGAUAUGCAAAUCUAGGGCUUUUUCUGAAAUCACACAACAAGAAAGCCAUGGCAUCCAAUUCUCAGUUCCAGAAAUUUGCGCUUCAAGAUACACAAAUCGAUAUGCAAAUCUAGGGCUUUUUAUGAAAUCGCACAACAAGAAAGACAUGGCAUCCAAUUCUCAGUUUCAGAAAUCACACAAGAAGGCUAUGACAUCCAGGAAUCACUGAAGUAAUUUCUUUUCUCGAUCUCACGCUUUGUUCAGGUCGAUAUCCUUCCGCUCCACUCACCAACUCCACAACUAUCUACGUUCAACAUUCCUUAUUCUCAACCCUCAGGUUUAAUUUUCGAAUUCCCCUCUUAGUACAAAAACUUUUGAGUUUGUGAUUUGUGCAUUUCAGGGAAAUAUGUUUUUCGAUUUUGUUUGUCUUCUUAGCACCUGAUUUGAUCUUUUGGAGUUAUGUGUUAAUUGAUGUUGAUUCAGGAGAACAUGUUGAUUCAUUUUACCAAACUACCCUUAAGAAAUCUAAUAGAAAACAACGACAGAAGAAAAGAAAACCAAACUUAUAUCACUUUAUCAAAUUGCAUUUUUUUUAGUAUGCACAAAUCUAAUAAAAAAGUUUGUUUUUUUGUAUGAAAACUUUGUUAUAUGAAACUGAAUUGAUGUUUAUUGAUGUUAAUUCAGGUUUAUAAAACUGAAUUGAUCAUUUUUUGCUUGAUUCACCAACUUGUUAGUCCUCAAAAAUGUCAUCUUCUUCAAGCAUCAAGAGCAUCAGAAGUAGAAGGAUAGUAAGGAGCGGUGGAGUUGACUUGUGCAAGUGUAAUGAAGAAGCUUCUAUCUUUACAUCAUGGACUGCAAAGAAUCCUGGUAGAAGAUUUUAUGGAUGUCCAAAUUACAAGGUAAAAUGUUUGUAAAUUUUUUUUGUGGAUGUCCAAAUAUAAACCUGAACUUAUACCAUGUAGUGAUAUAAUUGAUCAUUCUUUGCAUUGUACUGAAAUAAAAUUAUAAACCUGUCACUUAAAUAAAAUUAUAUUCUUUGCAGGAUGAAAGUAUGAAUUGCAAAUAUUUCACGUGGAUUGAUGAUGAACUUACAAUCCAAAGGUACAAGGAUCUACUCUUCAAUAUGAACCAUGAUAUGAAGGGUAUGGAAGAUGAGAUCAAAAAAUUAAAGUUAAAGUUGAAGAAAAAAAACAUGUUUGGAAUGUUAAGAACGAAGAGUAAAAUAUGUUAGGAUUGUAGUAUUCUUGGUAGUUGUCUUGACAUUGGUCAUCUUAAGGUUGUGUUACUUUUGAUGAAUUAAGGUAUGUUAGGGUUAUGUUUUCUAUCUUAAGGUUGUGUUACUUUUGAUGAACUAAGGUAUGUUAGGGUUAUGUUUUGUAUGGCAAGAUAGUUGGUUAUGUUUUGUAUGAGUAUAUAAGUACUUUUCUAUAUAUGCUAUUUUCAGUUUACAUUCUUUCAA
rnacentral:lncRNA from 1 species